rnacentral:lncRNA from 1 species
GAGGCCCAGGAAAUCAUGAAAGGGCGAGAGGGGAGGAUCAACCCCUGAAAUUCCCUCCCAUUGGCGGUUUUUUGAAUUGAAAACCUGGUCUUCCGCAUUGCUUUGCAGUUUCUCACAUUUUUGCAGGGCAGCAGGAUACAAGAAGGAGCGGCCCCCUUCUUCUUCUUCUUCCUUCCUCUUCUAAAAGGAUUCAUGAACUAAGAGAGGCAGAAGGGAAACCACUUUCAAUGACCUGAGCCUCAAAGGUCUUCUGCAUGGAGACGAGUAACNCUGACCUUUCUUCCAUUCCCUUUGCCUUUGAAUGCCAACAGAUGGAGUUGAGUAUAGAUGUGGGGAACAACUUUGAUCCAGUUCCACAGUUGGUUGACGCACCCACCUCCCAUGUCAAAGAAGAAUCAUCCGCUCUGCCCGUGACUCAGCUGGAGCCAUCUUUUGUGGUCAAACUGGAAGCACCGUACAUGCAGAUGAAAUCCGAAGAGAGGCCGCUUCCCCCAACUGACUCCGACCUGCCAUCUGGGCAGGUUAAGCUGGAGGAAGAGCCCCCUGUUAAAAUCAAACGCGAAGANGAGCCACCUGCACAGGUCAAAGAAGAAGAACAGCCCAUACAGAUUGUGGUCAUCAAAGAACAUCUUGGCCAGGUUCCAGAGAACCAUAGUCAAUUGAAGGCGCCAGGAUCCCUUCCAAAAGCCCUGGAACCUCAAGGAUCUUUAGCCCACUCAUCGCACACUUCCUCCUCCUCNACGAAUUCCAAAGGUUCUUCCUCGACACAGGUUAAGAAGGGAAGAGGAGUGUCCUGGUUGAAGGCAGAAGUUAUCGAUCUCCUUGCAGUAUGGGGCGAUGAGAAGGUGCAGCAACAGCUCCGUCAAAACCACCGCAACAGGGAUCUCUUUGAAGACAUUGCAAGGGAAAUGCGUGCUCGAGGUCACAACCGUGACGCCUUGGAGUGUAGAACAAAGACCAAGCACAUGAGAAUGGAAUAUAAACGUGCAGUGACCCAAAACUCCAGCCCCGGGAACAGUCGCGUGGAAAUUCCAUUUUUCAAGGAGCUCGACGCCAUUUUCCGAGGGAAUGCCUCGGUUGCCCCGAGCAGAGUAUCGAGGAACACUGAUGGUGGUAGAACUUCAGGAAGUACGAUGAGCUCCAUUGGUGCCCAUUCCUUGGAUUUCUUUUCAGACGAUGUCAGAAUCAUAGAUCAUAGAGCACCAGAGGAUACUGGUGCAGGAGCAAUGGCCAAAGGGCAGUGGACCCCUGAAGAGGUACCAGACCCACAGACACAGAAGAAUGAAGACGACGAGACCAGAACCGAUUUGCUCCUCGAAGAACUUCAGCCGCCCAACGCCAGCCAACCUGUCCACGUUGCACACGACCAGCAGGCUCCAAGAGUUUUUGCAGGUGCUUCCAAUCAAAACCGACACCAUACAUUGACUGCUGUGGAUGCCGACAACGAAGAACACGGGGAUGCCAACGGUCCCGAAUGGCUGUCCCCNGCAGAAAGGCUGACAAGGAUGAAGGCAAAGCGGAGAAGAAUAGGGAGCGUGGAGAUGCUGAACACAGUCCUGAGGCACGCGAGCAACGAGAACAGGAUUGCNCUGCAGACGUUCCGUGAGUCUGACCGGAAGAUGAUGGAUUUCUUCCAAAUGCAAACGGAGAAGAUGGCGCAGACAGAGGAGCGCUGCUUCCAGCAGAUGAUGACAAUCAUGGCGGAGCAGACACAGUUGCUUAGGACAAUAGCCGCCAGAGCAACGCCUGUCGACCAGGAGAACAGUAUUGGCCGAGGGGUUUCUAACACCUCCCACAGUUCAUUGUUCUCUCCCCAGGCUUCCCCUGUGUCAAUGCAGCAUUCAGUGAAUAUGAGAGUGGAAAUCCAUCCUCCUCCUGUUACUCCUCCACCAUCGACACAGCCAGCCUCCCCCGAGCUUCGCAGGCCCCUGGUGAGCUAUGAUUCGGAUACCUCUGUGGAACUCGAUGAGGGUUCCCCCCCAAACCCCACGACUUCACCUCCUAGAACCCCGUGACCAGGUAGGAGAGUUCCUUCUCGCACUGUUAAAAGAAGGCGCAUCUUCUCCCCUUAAAGAUAAUUUUAGUACCUGCUUUACCCAAUUGUUCGUAUUCUUUUUAUUGCUGCCAAGCGCACCAUUAUCGAUUAUAUCCUUUUUUUUGGUGGGGGGUUUUUUCCCCCCAUUAUUAUAUCCUUUUUAGGCACAGGCUGUGGUCCAUGUGUAUGAGACAAGGGUUGGAGGUUUUCCACAGCCAACGCCUUUCCUCCUGUGUAGGACUAGUGAAAGAGUUGCACACAGCUGAUACUUUUGCCCAAAGCCUGCGCUUUUUAAACAGUUUCUGUUUGCCUCCCGUUGUAAUAUGUCAAUAAAAGGUUUUGAAUGGCUU